rnacentral:rRNA from 1 species
AGAUGAAAAGAACUUUGGAAAGAGAGUUAAACAGUACGUGAAAUUGUUGAAAGGGAAACGCUUGAAGUCAGUCGCGACUAGCAAGGAUCAGCCUUUCUCGGAGGUGUAUUUCUUGCUUGACGGGUCAACAUCAAUUUUGACUACUGGAAAAAGGCCAGAGGAAGGUGGCACCUUCGGGUGUGUUAUAGCCUUUGGUCAUAUACAGUAGUUGGGAUUGAGGAAUUCAGCAUGCCUUCAUGGCUGGGGUUCGCCCACAUUCAUGCUUAGGAUGUUGGCAUAAUGGCUUUAAGCGACCCGUCUUGAAACACGGACCAAGA